AAAAAAAUAGAACUGCAUGGGCCUUGCUCCUCUGCGUGGAUGAAUGUGGACUACCUAAAAUCCAGCUGAUAACUUGAUUUGACUUUGUUAGUGAUUUUACAAAUUGAUCAGACCUUAUAUGAUUAUAUAAUGAAAUAAAUAAUUUAAUGUGUCCUCUUGUAAAGCAACUUAUUUUAUACUUCCAAAUACAUUCAUCUCUUUCUUGCUACAUAAAAAUAAGCUUUUAAUAAAUAUCUCUUGAGUCUGAUAACCUUCACACAGUCAUUAACCGACAGGAUGGAGGGCUGUGAUUAGCUGCACAUUGGCACAGCCACAUUCCUAGAUUCCUAAGGUUCACUCAGUUGGAUAAAUGUAUGCCUGGCUGACUCAGAUUAACUACCUGGUUAUAGCGUUCCUCCACAGCAUGGUCUUUUGCCAUAAAUUGACUGUGGUUUGAGGGGGUGGUGCUCUAAAGCUCCGUGUCCAGCAGAUUUUUGCCUGUCUGCUUCAUUGGGUCCUGUCCAUUGCAGAAGCUGUCUAUGUGUGUUUGUUUUGUCUUCCAGUCUGCUGGACCAUCUCUAGCUGUGAUCAGCCAAGGUCAAAGAUGAAGGUUUUCGUACAACACUGUGAUAUGCAAGACUGAUGUCCUCAUUUGUUGAGAAAGAUGAGAGUAUCAUGAAGAAAGGAGGAAGGGAAAACAAAAAACAAAAAAUCACUCCAGAAGGGAAGGUGUCCAUAUUGUUAUCCUAUAAUAAAUUCAACUGAACCAACACAUUCUCACUUCCACCUUGUCAUGUACAGUAUGGACACUUGAUCAGGACCACUUGGCGCCACUUUUUAAAACACUGGGUACCCCUUCAGUGUAAUUUUCCAACGUGCAGGGUUCCAUUGCUUUCAAUGAGAAAACUUUGUAAUCAAAACAGAGAUUCUAAUGGCAUUUUAUUGUCAUAAAACUAUACGCCUAUAUUGGGUUAUAAUUUUGUCAUUAUGACAUAUGCUGAGGUAUGAUUUUCAACAGCCACAAUCAUUUUAUUUCCAUUACACUAUUUAGAUAUUUUUGAGCAUUUAACCCAACCCUCACUUCUAAACCUAACCAUUUCUCAAUAUAAAACAAUAGAAAACGAUUGAAAGCAACAUUAUAUGUCGAAAAACAAUGCUAAAGAUAUCACAGAGCAUUACAAAGUGACUCCAAAGGGGUCCUGACCAAUCAUCCACAUGUGUUGAGUUGGGAUUAAGAAAGUGUUGGUCGAACCAGUGGAUGUUGUAUAAAUUCUCAGUGGUUAAAGUAAAUAAAGGAAUGAAAUCUGUCUCUUUUCCUUUAUAU
ensembl:lncRNA